rnacentral:tmRNA from 1 species
CCCCUUUUCAACCGCUUGCCCGCCCCCUAUAUAUGAUCUGUUCCUUCGGGAACUAUGGACAUAAACGCGCUCGUAAUAAGCGGAUCGGACCCGGGGGCGGUACCCGGCGACUCCACCAAAACCUGCUCAUUUGGCAGUCAUGGGGUCGAAACAGGAUCGACGAACGUCUAAAGGGGUUAGCUUUGUCUCGGUGAGUUACCACCGUUAUCGGUACAAUUUAAGCUAGUUGCAAAUGACAACAAAGCUCCGAUGGCUCUGGCUGCGUAAGCGGUUCGAUCUAUCGAAAUCUUAAGUCCUUACGCUUAGCAGCCUAAGGCGGGGUUUGCAGGUACCUGGCAACAGAAACCUGCGCU